rnacentral:ncRNA from 1 species
UAAAUGGUAGGUGGCAGCCGAAUGUUCAUAGUGAUGUUGCUCCUUGGACCUUCGUGACGCAAAAUUCAUGAAGCAUUGGAUUGUUCACCCACUAAUAGGGAAAGGAAACUGGGAUUAGAUGGUCCUGAAUCAGGUU